rnacentral:rRNA from 1 species
UUUUGGACAAUGGGCGCAAGCCUGAUCCAGCAAUGCCGCGUGCAGGAAGAAGGCCUUCGGGUUGUAAACUGCUUUUGUACGGAACGAAACGGUCCUGGUUAAUACCUGGGGCUAAUGACGGUACCGUAAGAAUAAGCACCGGCUAACUACGUGCCAGCAGCCGCGGUAAUACGUAGGGUGCAAGCGUUAAUCGGAAUUACUGGGCGUAAAGCGUGCGCAGGCGGUUUUGCAAGACAGGCGUGAAAUCCCCGGGCUUAACCUGGGAAUGGCGCUUGUGACUGCAAAGCUGGAGUGCGGCAGAGGGGGAUGGAAUUCCGCGUGUAGCAGUGAAAUGCGUAGAUAUGCGGAGGAACACCGAUGGCGAAGGCAAUCCCCUGGGCCUGCACUGACGCUCAUGCACGAAG